rnacentral:rRNA from 1 species
GCCUACGGGGGGCAGCAGUUAGGGAUCUUCCGCAAUGGGCGAAAGCCUGACGGAGCGACACUGCGUGAGGGAAGGAGUCCUUCGGGAUGUAAACCUCUGUCAAGAGGGGAAGAAACAGACGGUACCCUCAAAGGAAGCCCCGGCUAACUACGUGCCAGCAGCCGCGGUAAAACGUAGGGGGCGAGCGUUAUCCGGAAUUACUGGGCGUAAAGGGCGUGCAGGCGGUCAGGUGUAUCGAGGGUGAAAUCCCACGGCACAACUGUGGGAAGACUCUCGAGAUUAUCUGACUAGAGGGUAGAAGAGGGAGAUAGAAUUCCCGGUGUAGCGGUGGAAUGCGUAGAUAUCGGGAAGAAUGCCGGUGGUGAAGACGGUCUCCCAGGCUACUCCUGACGCUGAGGCGCGAAAGCUAGGGGAGCGAACGGGAUUAGAUACCCUGGUAGUC